rnacentral:rRNA from 1 species
CCUGAGUACGACGGAGCACGUGAAAUUCCGUCGGAAUCUGGGAGGACCAUCUCCUAAGGCUAAAUACUCUCUAGUGACCGAUAGUGAACCAGUACCGUGAGGGAAAGGUGAAAAGUACCCCGGAAGGGGAGUGAAAGAGAACUUGAAACCGUGUGCUUACAAGUAGUCAGAGCCCGUUAAUGGGUGAUGGCGUGCCUUUUGUAGAAUGAACCGGCGAGUUACGAUCUGAUGCAAGGUUAAGCAGAAAAUGUGGAGCCGUAGCGAAAGCGAGUCUGAAUAGGGCGAAUGAGUAUUUGGUCGUAGACCCGAAACCAGGUGAUCUACCCUUGGUCAGGUUGAAGUUCAGGUAACACUGAAUGGAGGACCGAACCGACUUACGUUGAAAAGUGAGCGGAUGAACUGAGGGUAGCGGAGAAAUUCCAAUCGAACUUGGAGAUAGCUGGUUCUCUCCGAAA